GACGCCGCCAUUACCACCGACAUUGCUAGGAACCUCAUCCUCAUUCUCGACUACAGAUUCUAGUACACCACCCACCAUAUUCGCCAACUCUUCUCCUCUCUCUUUCUCUGUAUCUUCAGAAACUCUCCCAUCUCCUUCAUCUUCAACAAAAGAGAAGAAGAAGCGAUUAAACGAAGCCGACCUCGACGCGGUCGUUUAUGACGGCAAUGUGGAGUGUAGAGAGGAGGUCGUGGAUAGCGGUGUGGCAGAGGAGAUCGGGAUCGACACAUAGGGAGGAGCGGAUGGGAUUGGCGCCCUCAACUUGGAUCGCGCCGAAGAAAGCAUCAGAUCAAUCAAUCACCACCCCACCUUUUGGUGAAUCUACAUUGAAAAAAGCAAGAUAAUAAAGAAAACAGCAAUGAAAAAAGUAGAAGAAGAAUUACAACGUAUGAGGAAGAGAAAUGGUCGCAUGGGAAAGAGAAACGGUCGUAUAGGGAAGAUAAAUUGUCACAUAGGGAAGAGAAACAGUUAAAGAAAGAUGAGAGGCCGGGAAUAGCAACUUAAAGAUGGAGACCACACCCAAUCUUGAAGAUGGGGCUGCCACGUGGAUUCUUUUUGGGGAUUAAUAUAGAGUUAUAGAUAUAGAAUG
rnacentral:lncRNA from 1 species